ACAACUACACGGGGGAGGGAGGCGGAAGGCUCCGACCCUCCACCAGGUGUGGAUCAGCAGCAUGCGGCCACCACACAUUCCGGCGGGGUCACGGAGGUUAACGCACCGGCGCCACCGCGAUGACAGGACAGGAGGAGAGGGAGAUGAUUGGAUAAAAGUGUAUGGAAGUAUCGAAGUAGAGUCCUCUGCCCUAUGUGAAGCCUGAUCUGCUCUGUCAACUGAUGGCCUAAUUCAGCAUGCGACGGCAGAGGCGUUUGAGGGCCGGACGAGGGUGUCGAUGAUUGACAGGUAGAGGCGUUUGAGGGACAGACGACUCAAAACUCAGCUGCUGCGACUCAAAACAUGGCGGCUCGGCGACUGCCUUUGCAGGUUGUCUCUGUGGUUCUGAGCGCCUACCUGGUAUCAAUUAAUCUACAUGGGAGCAGGAAUGCUGUGUAUUAGAGGGAGAGGAUGAGCAGCUACAGAUCUGGCAAGCAAGACUUUUUAAUAAGUCCCAGAAGAAGAACGGGAUUCUGAUGUCAGAAAUGUUUUAUUGAUGGGAACACACAAGGAGUGCAUGAUAUAUGAGGAUGAGGAUCAGAUCAAAUGUCUUGAAUUUAGACAACUUAUUGGAUGAGAAACGGUUUUCCACACAGUAUGAUGAGCCAUACAAUCUGCAUCUCCUCCAAUGGAUGAACCUGGAUCCUUGAUUGAAAGAGAUUACGGGGUCAUUGCCCAAUUAUGAAUUGACACAGCAGCAGCAUAAUCAGUUACU